rnacentral:rRNA from 1 species
CCCAGACUCCUACGGGAGGCAGCAGUGGGGGAUAUUGCACAAUGGGGGGAACCCUGAUGCAGCGACGCCGCGUGGGUGAAGAAGUAUUUCGGUAUGUAAAGCCCUAUCGGCAGGGAAGAAAUUGGACGGUACCUGACUAAGAAGCCCCGGCUAACUACGUGCCAGCAGCCGCGGUAAUACGUAGGGGGCAAGCGUUAUCCGGAUUCACUGGGUGUAAAGGGAGCGUAGACGGCCAUGCAAGCCUGGAGUGAAAGCCCGGGGCCCAACCCCGGGACUGCUCUGGGAACUGUGCGGCUGGAGUGCGGGAGGGGCAGGCGGAAUUCCUGGUGUAGCGGUGAAAUGCGUAGAUAUCAGGAGGAACACCGGCGGCGAAGGCGGCCUGCUGGACCGCGACUGACGUUGAGGCUCGAAAGCGUGGGGAGCAAACAGGAUUAGAUACCCGUGUAAU